GAGGCGAAGAAGGACGUGAUAAGCUGCGAAAAGCUCCGUUUAGGUGCAAAUAACCUUUGAUGCGGAGAUCUCCGAAUGGGAUAACCCAAUAUGUUGAAGACAUAUUAUACCGUAAGGUAGGCAAACGCAGGGAACUGAAACAUCUAAGUACCUGCAGGAGAAGAAAACAAACGUGAUUCCCCCAGUAGCGGCGAGCGACCGGGGAUAAGCCCAAACCGUUAUUGUUUCGGCAGUAGCGGGGUAGUAGGACUGCGACAUUGAUGAAAUAAAUGAAAUGGAACACUUUGGAAAAUGUGAUCACAGAGGGUGAUAAUCCCGUACAUGCAAGUUUAUGAAUCAUAGCAGACUCCUGAGUAAGUCGGGACACGUGUAAUCCUGACCGAAUCCGCCGGGACCAUCCGGCAAGGCUAAAUACUCCUGAGAGACCGAUAGUGAACCAGUACCGUGAGGGAAAGGUGAAAAGCACUUCGAACAGAAGAGUGAAAUAGUCCCUGAACCCAUACGCCUACAAGCAGUCGGAGCCGCUUCGUGCGGUGACGGCGUGCCUUUUGCAUAAUGAGCCUACGAGUUACUCAUCACCAGCGAGGUUAAGUACUUCAGGUACGUAAGCCGAAGCGAAAGCGAGUCUGAAUAGGGCGUCAAGUUGGUGGUGGUAGACGCGAAACCUUAGUGAUCUACCCAUGGGCAGGGUGAAGGUUUGGUAACACAAACUGGAGGCCCGAACCGGUAAACGUUGAAAAGUUUUCGGAUGACCUGUGGGUAGGGGUGAAAGGCCAAUCAAACUGGGAAAUAGCUCGUACUCUCCGAAAUGCAUUUAGGUGCAGCCUCUGUUGUUUUGUUCUAGAGGUAGAGCUACUGAUUGGAUGCGAGGGCUUCACCGCCUAUCAAAUCCGGCCAAACUCCGAAUGCUAGAACAUGAAGACAGGGAGUGAGCCAGCGGGUGCUAAGGUCCGUUGACGAAAGAGGGAGAACUCAGACCAUCAGCUAAGGUCCCCAAUUAUAUGCUAAGUUGGAAUUAAAACGGGGUGGGACUGCUUAGACAGCUAGGAUGUUGGCUUGGAAGCAGCCAUUCAUUUAAAGAGUGCGUAACAGCUCACUAGUCGAGCGGUCCUGCAUGGAUAAUACGCGGGCAUAAGCAUAUAACCGAAGCUAUGGGAUUGUAGAUGAUACAAUCGGUAGGAGAGCAUUCCAUUCAGCAUAGAAGCAGUACCGUGAGGUAUUGUGGAGCGGAUGGAAAAGCAAAUGUAGGCAUAAGUAACGAUAAUGCGGGUGAGAACCCCGCACGCCGAAAGAUCAAGGAUUCCCCGGCAAUGUCAAUCAUCCGGGGGUAAGUCGGAUCCUAAGGGUAAGCCGAGUGGCGAUCCCGAUGGCAAACAGGUUAAUAUUCCUGUACUGAUCAUAACUGCGAUGCAGCGACGCAGAGGUGACACUGCUGCGUACUGACGGAAUAGUACGUUGAAACCCGUAUUCUUUGAUACCGGUAGUGAAGCACGCCGGUAGAGAUGAAAGGUGAUAGUACCGCAAUGCUUCGGUUGCGCGGAUAACGCAGGUAAGCUGACUGCCAAGAAAACCUGCUAAGCUUCAGGUAAUGAUCAUCCGUACUGUAAACGGACACACGUGAUCAGGUAGAAAAUACUAAGGCGCUCGAGAGAUUCAUGGUUAAGGAACUAGGCAAAAUGGUCCUGUAACUUCGGGAUAAAGGACGCUCUUGUGAAAGAGCCGCAGAUAAUAGGCCCAGGCGACUGUUUACCAAAAACACAUGGCUAUGCUAAUUCGCAAGAAGAUGUAUAUGGCCUGACACCUGCCCGGUGCCGGAAGGUUAAGAGGAGAGCUCAGAGGCAACUCGAAGGUUUGAAUUGAAGCCCCGGUAAACGGCGGCCGUAACUAUAACGGUCCUAAGGUAGCGAAAUUCCUUGUCGGGUAAGUUCCGACCUGCACGAAUGGUGUAACGA
rnacentral:rRNA from 1 species